rnacentral:rRNA from 1 species
AGAGUUUGAUCCUGGCUCAGGAUGAACGCUGGCGGCGUGCCUAAUACAUGCAAGUCGAGCGAACAGACGAGGAGCUUGCUCCUUUGACGUUAGCGGCGGACGGGUGAGUAACACGUAGGUAACCUACCUAUAAGACUGGGAUAACUUCGGGAAACCGGAGCUAAUACCGGAUAAUAUUUCGAACCGCAUGGUUCGAUAGUGAAAGAUGGCUUUGCUAUCACUUAUAGAUGGACCUGCGCCGUAUUAGCUAGUUGGUAAGGUAACGGCUUACCAAGGCAACGAUACGUAGCCGACCUGAGAGGGUGAUCGGCCACACUGGAACUGAGACACGGUCCAGACUCCUACGGGAGGCAGCAGUAGGGAAUCUUCCGCAAUGGGCGAAAGCCUGACGGAGCAACGCCGCGUGAGUGAUGAAGGUCUUCGGAUCGUAAAACUCUGUUAUUAGGGAAGAACAAACGUGUAAGUAACUGUGCACGUCUUGACGGUACCUAAUCAGAAAGCCACGGCUAACUACGUGCCAGCAGCCGCGGUAAUACGUAGGUGGCAAGCGUUAUCCGGAAUUAUUGGGCGUAAAGCGCGCGUAGGCGGUUUUUUAAGUCUGAUGUGAAAGCCCACGGCUCAACCGUGGAGGGUCAUUGGAAACUGGAAAACUUGAGUGCAGAAGAGGAAAGUGGAAUUCCAUGUGUAGCGGUGAAAUGCGCAGAGAUAUGGAGGAACACCAGUGGCGAAAGGCGAUUUUCUGGUCUGUAACUGACGCUGAUGUGCGAAAGCGUGGGGAUCAAACAGGAUUAGAUACCCUGGUAGUCCACGCCGUAAACGAUGAGUGCUAAGUGUUAGGGGUUUCCGCCCCUUAGUGCUGCAGCUAACGCAUUAAGCACUCCGCCUGGGGAGUACGACCGCAGUUGAAACUCAAA